UAAGCCAUUCUAUUGCUGUUACUGGCUGCUGCUGGUGGUGGUGGGUGCUACUUGUCAGCCACACCAAAUUGAAUGUCCUGCACUAAUCAUGGGUGGUAAUUUGCAGAGGACAGGUGACUGGAGAAGACCAGAGGAAGAGUCAAACUUGAAGAAAGAAGCCUGCAUACCAGAGAAUGCCAGCAAUCAACAGCAAGCUGAAACAUCUGAACAACCAGGCCCAGAGACCAACAGAGAAAAAGAAAGAGAGUGCUCCAGUCACCUAAAGAUUAGGAAGAAUAAGAAAGAUAAACUAGUAAAAGAUGAAAAAAUGUUUAAGAAGAAACCAGGAAGAAAAGCCCUUCAACUACCACCCACCUGCCCAAGAAACUAUAAGAGAACAGUAAGACCAACAAUAUUUUUAUGUUCUCACAAGACAAAUAAUACAAAGAAUAAAACCCACCAUAGCCUAAACAAAAAUCGUUGGAAUAUAAAACCAUUCCAAGUGACCUCCUGUGGAUCAAGAAAAUGUAAAGCCUGGGUUAAAAGCUUAAAACAAGCUACAGCAGUUUCAGAAGUAAAUGUGGAGGAAAGAAGAGACCCUUGAGAUCUCUUCUAGAGCCAACAAGAAAUGUGCCAGUUGGCAGCUGAAACAAAAUAUUCAAGAUGUGGGGAAAAAAAUUAUAAUUGUUUAGAAAAGUAGAACUAAUAGGUUCUCCUCUAGGAUUCAUAACAUUACCUGUUAUUGCCCUUAUCUCCCCCAAGAACUUGAAGAUGGGAUGAUGCCCGUCUACAUUUACUCAGGCAAAUCUUGUGUUUUCAAGAAUCUGCAGAUUUCAAAUGGUGUCACAUGUUCCAAAUAAUUUUACAAGUAGGAAUAACGCCUUAGCAGCUACACAGACAUCCCUGAUGCCAGUCAAACUAACACUUGAAAUGAGGAAACUUCAAUUCCAACAAUAAUCAUCCUGAUAACAGUGCUGCCCCUACUGUACCUGUGGCUCUAUUGUAACACCGCAAUCAUCAUUGCAGUUUCAAAGUACAUUGUUUGGUCCAUGGACACAUCAUCUUCUACUUUAUAGUCCACUAAUGAAGGAAAACAGGCCAGGACUUCAAGAAGUAACCAAUGACUGCACCAUUUCUGAAACAUCAAGAGAUUUCUGCUCUAAUUUCUGAGGGGCAUUAAUACGGAAGAUGAAGCCACUUGAUUUCCAAGUUGAGUUUUUAUUUCUAAAGCACUCAGGCAGAGACAUUUAUACCUUCAAGAAGUCUUCAUUCUCCACUCUAAAGACUGAUGAAAGCUUGGUUUGUGUAACCUUCAAAAUCAAGAAAUAAAGCUUCAUAUGUCAUCCUCA